UUACAAACUAAGUAGUAAAUUGUCGUUUCUUUCCCCGAUAUAUCAGAUUCCCAUGAACGAAGCACGAUGCUAUGAACACAAAUUUUGACAUGUUAAUGGCCCAAAGAGUUCUUACGUAAACCUGCGUAAACCUGCGUAAACCUGCGUAAACCUGCAUAACAACGUAUGCCAUGAACUUUGCAUAAUGUUAGACAACUGGGUGAAAUAUGCGAUGCACUGUAUGUUUAUUUGACAAUUGCGACAUGAAUAAAGUCAUGAAUAAAGUAUCAGAACUUUCA